rnacentral:rRNA from 1 species
UCCGGGAGGCAGCAUUUUUCAUUCGGGAGCCAGCAGUGGGGAUUCUUUCCCACUGGGCGCAAGCCUGAUCUAGCCAUGCCGCGUGAGUGAUGAAGGCCUUAGGAUGAUAAAGCUCUUUCGCCAGGGAUGAUAAGGACAGUCCCUAGUAAAAAAGCCCCGGUAAAUUCCGUCCCACCACCCGCGGUAAUACGGAGGGGGGAAGCUUUUUUCGGAAUAUCUGGGCGUAAAGCGCACUUGGGGGGAUCUUAAAUUAUGGGGUAAAAUCCCAGGGUUCACCCCAGGAACUCCCUUGAAAACUCUUGUUUUGGAGUUUGAGAGAGGUGAGGGGAAUUCCAAGUGUAGGGGGGAAAUUCGUAGAUAUACGGAGGACCCCCAGUGGGGAGGGCGGCUCCUUGGCUCGAUACUGCCGCGGAGGUGCAAAAGGGGGGGGAGCAACCAGGUUUAGAUCCCCUGUUAUUCCCCCCCUUCCCAAUGAAUGCCAGUCUUCGGGCCGUAUACCUUCGGUGUCCCAGCUAACGCAUAAGC